rnacentral:rRNA from 1 species
GACGAACGCUGGCGGCGUGCUUAACACAUGCAAGUCGAACGGAAAGGCCCUGCUUUUGUGGGGUGCUCGAGUGGCGAACGGGUGAGUAACACGUGAGUAACCUGCCCUUGACUUUGGGAUAACUUCAGGAAACUGGGGCUAAUACCGGAUAGGAGCUCCUGCUGCAUGGUGGGGGUUGGAAAGUUUCGGCGGUUGGGGAUGGACUCGCGGCUUAUCAGCUUGUUGGUGGGGUAGUGGCUUACCAAGGCUUUGAAGGGUAGCCGGCCUGCGAGGGUGACCGGCCACAUUGGGACUGAGAUACGGCCCAGACUCCUACGGGAGGCAGCAGUGGGGAAUAUUGCACAAUGGGCGGAAGCCUGAUGCAGCAACGCCGCGUGCGGGAUGACGGCCUUCGGGUUGUAAACCGCUUUCGCCUGUGACGAAGCGUGAGUGACGGUAAUGGGUAAAGAAGCACCGGCUAACUACGUG